CUCUGGUAUUGAUUGGUGCUUGCAUCAUGAUUUACAUUUGAGUGAGUGGCGAACUGGUGAGUAACACGUGGGAAACCUGCCCAGAAGCGGGGGAUAACACCUGGAAACAGAUGCUAAUACCGCAUAACAACUUGGACCGCAUGGUCCGAGCUUGAAAGAUGGCUUCGGCUAUCACUUUUGGAUGGUCCCGCGGCGUAUUAGCUAGAUGGUGGGGUAACGGCUCACCAUGGCAAUGAUACGUAGCCGACCUGAGAGGGUAAUCGGCCACAUUGGGACUGAGACACGGCCCAAACUCCUACGGGAGGCAGCAGUAGGGAAUCUUCCACAAUGGACGAAAGUCUGAUGGAGCAACGCCGCGUGAGUGAAGAAGGGUUUCGGCUCGUAAAACUCUGUUGUUAAAGAAGAACAUAUCUGAGAGUAACUGUUCAGGUAUUGACGGUAUUUAACCAGAAAGCCACGGCUAACUACGUGCCAGCAGCCGCGGUAAUACGUAGGUGGCAAGCGUUGUCCGGAUUUAUUGGGCGUAAAGCGAGCGCAGGCGGUUUUUUAAGUCUGAUGUGAAAGCCUUCGGCUCAACCGAAGAAGUGCAUCGGAAACUGGGAAACUUGAGUGCAGAAGAGGACAGUGGAACUCCAUGUGUAGCGGUGAAAUGCGUAGAUAUAUGGAAGAACACCAGUGGCGAAGGCGGCUGUCUGGUCUGUAACUGACGCUGAGGCUCGAAAGUAUGGGUAGCAAACAGGAUUAGAUACCCUGGUAGUCCAUACCGUAAACGAUGAAUGCUAAGUGUUGGAGGGUUUCCGCCCUUCAGUGCUGCAGCUAACGCAUUAAGCAUUCCGCCUGGGGAGUACGGCCGCAAGGCUGAAACUCAAAGGAAUUGACGGGGGCCCGCACAAGCGGUGGAGCAUGUGGUUUAAUUCGAAGCUACGCGAAGAACCUUACCAGGUCUUGACAUACUAUGCAAAUCUAAGAGAUUAGACGUUCCCUUCGGGGACAUGGAUACAGGUGGUGCAUGGUUGUCGUCAGCUCGUGUCGUGAGAUGUUGGGUUAAGUCCCGCAACGAGCGCAACCCUUAUUAUCAGUUGCCAGCAUUAAGUUGGGCACUCUGGUGAGACUGCCGGUGACAAACCGGAGGAAGGUGGGGAUGACGUCAAAUCAUCAUGCCCCUUAUGACCUGGGCUACACACGUGCUACAAUGGAUGGUACAACGAGUUGCGAACUCGCGAGAGUAAGCUAAUCUCUUAAAGCCAUUCUCAGUUCGGAUUGUAGGCUGCAACUCGCCUACAUGAAGUCGGAAUCGCUAGUAAUCGCGGAUCAGCAUGCCGCGGUGAAUACGUUCCCGGGCCUUGUACACACCGCCCGUCACACCAUGAGAGUUUGUAACACCCAAAGUCGGUGGGGUAACC
rnacentral:rRNA from 4 species